rnacentral:rRNA from 1 species
GACGAACGCUGGCGGCGUGCUUAACACAUGCAAGUCGAGCGGUAAGGCCCUUUCGGGGGUACACGAGCGGCGAACGGGUGAGUAACACGUGGGUGACCUGCCUUUAGCUCUGGGAUAAGCCUGGGGAAACUGGGUCUAAUACCGGAUAUGACCCUAUGGCGCAUGUUGUGGGGUGGAAAGCCUUGUGCGGCUAGGGAUGGGCCCGCGGCCUAUCAGCUUGUUGGUGGGGUGAUGGCCUACCAAGGCGACGACGGGUAGCCGGCCUGAGAGGGCGACCGGCCACACUGGGACUGAGACACGGCCCAGACUCCUACGGGAGGCAGCAGUGGGGAAUCUUGCGCAAUGGGCGAAAGCCUGACGCAGCGACGCCGCGUGAGGGAUGACGCCU